UGUGGUGUCUCGGCACCGAGGCCAGUCACAUGGACUCGAAGGCGGGAGGCAAACCGGAGGACAGGAGGUGGUUUGCGCUGCACAUAGCAUCUUCGUAGCAGCAGGCUUCGGCUGGUUAAGACCUUUGCGAGAAUUCCGGGUGGUAAAUAUCAUCCUCGCGAUGCCCUUUCGUUUCUUUUCAGACGGAUUAUUCAGUUGUCGGUAAUUUUGAGACUUAACUAAAAAUAGGAGUCCCUCGGAGUCCUGGAGCAGCAAGGACACCACACCCCCAGGACAGGUCCCUCUUCAGCCGGCCUCUGGGCGGCCAGCCACCCGCAGAGCCAGAGCUGGGGCCAAGCCAGCUUUUGAGAGAGAACAGCCUCCAAAAUCGGUCAGAGAGAAUGGAUACUUCAGGCGGACACCACAGUGCUAACUGUAGCCCUCAAGGGCUUUGAAUCAGCAAAUGAAGCUCAUGGCCGAAAACCUGAAGGAGGGAUCCAGGGAAGGCCAUAAGGACAAGGAGGCCUGAGCCCCCGCCCUGGCUGCCCUGAGCGACGGCAGAGGCCACAGGAAGCGGUGCCACACGGCAGGUCUCCCGGUGACCAGGCCUGCUCCCGCCCAUCCCUUGCCCCAGGGCCUCACCUCCUCACAGGCACUGUCACACCCGCGGCCCUGGCGACAAGUCAGGGUGUGUGCCCACCGCGCCACCACGGAGCCACUCAGAAGGGGCCGCCUGCCAAGCCCCCAUCGAGGGAGCCUGAGCCGAGAGGCGGGCGUCCGGCACCUGGACGGCUCUCAACACCUCCUCCCUUCCCUGGUUCUGCUUUGCAGUUAUGUUAACAGACCCUUUCUCACCAAAAACCACCGUAACGGGGCUAUUAAAGGCAACCUGCACCUCUGUGA